rnacentral:rRNA from 1 species
CCGGGUUGCGGACAGUGUCUGGUGGGUAGUUUGACUGGGGCGGUCUCCUCCUAAAGAGUAACGGAGGAGCACGAAGGUUAGCUAAUCCUGGUCGGACAUCAGGAGGUUAGUGCAAAGGCAUAAGCUAGCUUGACUGCGAGAGUGACGGCUCGAGCAGGUGCGAAAGCAGGUCUUAGUGAUCCGGUGGUUCUGAAUGGAAGGGCCAUCGCUCAACGGAUAAAAGGUACUCCGGGGAUAACAGGCUGAUACCGCCCAAGAGUUCAUAUCGACGGCGGUGUUUGGCACCUCGAUGUCGGCUCAUCACAUCCUGGGGCUGAAGUAGGUCCCAAGGGUAUGGCUGUUCGCCAUUUAAAGUGGUACGCGAGCUGGGUUUAGAACGUCGUGAGACAGUUCGGUCCCUAUCUGCCGUGGGCGCUGGAGAAUUGAGGGGGGCUGCUCCUAGUACGAGAGGACCGGAGUGGACGCAUCACUGGUGUUCGGGUUGUCAUGCCAAUGGCAUUGCCCGGUAGCUAAAUGCGGAAAAGAUAAGUGCUGAAAGCAUCUAAGCACGAAACUUGCCCCGAGAUGAGUUCUCCCUGAGACUUUAAGUCUCCUGAAGGAACGUUAAAGACUAUGACGUUGAUAGGUCGGGUGUGUAAGUGUAGCGAUACAUUGAGCUAACCGAUACUAAUGAACCGUGAGGCUUAACCUUACAACGCCGAAG